rnacentral:pre_miRNA from 1 species
AUAAUACUUUCUUCGUUCGGAAUUACUUGUUGCAGAAAUAGAUGUAUCUAGACGUAUUUUAGUUCUAGAUGCAUCCAUUUUUUAGACAAGUAAUUCCGAAUGGAGGGAGUACAAG